UUGGAAGAUUUGCAGGGCCGAAGCAUUGGGAAAUACCACGGGAAAGAUAUCCGCCAAUAACAGCUACAAGCGGUUCAUCCUUGUGAGCCUUCUGCACCCCAAGUCUGAUCUUGGCAGGGGGGAGUUGUACGGUGAGGCUUGUAGCUGCUGUGAGGAGGCCUAGGGUUUUUGGGGUCCGCCGAAAAUUAGGCACCGUCUAACGAGAGGCAAGACAAACUCUCUUUAACAGUCGGCAAAGAGGGCCUGGGAUCAAAGAGUGGGUCAGAGCCAGGUCAGACUUCCUCGUCGAAAGGAGAGCGAGUUCGAAGUCGAAGUCGGACAAGAUAAACGGCUAUAAAUAGAUGGCAUUGGACGCCAUUGCGAGAUUCCAAGCCUGGUCGACAGCAUUGGAUUUUGUUCUCCAAGUGUCCUCUAUAGUGUCAGCCGUAGUUGAAUAUUCAAAGAAAGAAAAAAGAGAAAAACCAUAUAAAUACAAUAACUAGUGAAAAGUAGCCAGGAAGUGAGACGGUGAUUAGUGAAACCUCUUCGAUACACCCUUUCGACGGGUCACCCGUUUGGGUCUUAAAUUGGAGGAGGCUCGUCUUCCACGACCGCCAGCUGAAAUUCGUAGAAAUUCGCCGGAGCUUUGGGUCGUCGCCUUGGAGCAGUUCGGCGAGCCAGAGAGGAGAGGCCAAAGAGUGCCCGGCAGACGGCAGCCGCGUCGGCUUGUUCAUCGCUCCGCGUAUGCGUCCAUACCCCGUGCGCAUGGGAGGAGGCAAAGAAAAAAAAGUGUUCUUCAGUGGCGACAAAUAGUGGCAGAUCGAGGGCCCAAAUCGGAAGCGCUUCGUCGAUGGAGGUUCCUGUAAGUCGUUCAAUUGAAUAAAUAAAAUAUGUAUAUGAAAGUUCGAAAAAUAUAUAAAAAUAUGAAAGUUCGCCACGGGAGCGCACCCAAUUAGUGGGUUGAAAAGAGAGGGCAUCAGAAAGUCACCUCUUGAUUCUUUUCCCUACGCCUCUCGUACAUUACACCUUCUCUUUUGGUGGAUCGCUAUGCCAGCAAUUGCUCACAUAAAAUUUUCUUACAUUUCUUUUCUUUUCACUCCUAUUCAAAUCAUCUGUUCUCUCUCAUAUCUAGCCUAAGCUUCUUAUUUAUUUACAGUACUUUACGCAAAUUAUUUAAAAUUAAGUCGUAGCCAAUACUCGGGAAGGGCAAAUGAGAACAUUAAAUUACUGGGGAUCACUAAUUUUAGUCAUUAGAAAUAAAUAAACGUUUAUAAUGUCUGAGUAGAA